AACGAACGCUGGCGGCAUGCCUAACACAUGCAAGUCGAACGAGACCUUCGGGUCUAGUGGCGCACGUGUGCGUAACGCGUGGGAACCUGCCCUUAGGUUCGGAAUAACUCCCCGAAAGGGGUGCUAAUACCGGAUAAUGUCUUAGGACCAAAGACUUAUCGCCUUUGGAUGGGCCCGCGUUGGAUUAGCUAGUUUGUAGGGUAAAAGCCUACCAAGGCGACGAUCCAUAGCUGGUCUGAGAGGAUGAUCAGCCACACUGGGACUGAGACACGGCCCAGACUCCUACGGGAGGCAGCAGUGGGGAAUAUUGGACAAUGGGCGAAAGCCUGAUCCAGCAAUGCCGCGUGAGUGAUGAAGGCCUUAGGGUUGUAAAGCUCUUUUACCCGGGAUGAUAAUGACAGUACCGAGAGAAUAAGCUCCGGCUAACUCCGUG
rnacentral:rRNA from 1 species